rnacentral:rRNA from 1 species
CCCCACUGCUAUCGGGAUGGGACUAAGACAUGCUAGUCGAGCGUCUCCAAGCUAUGGAAGAGACGCGGCACACAGCUCAGUAACACGUGGCUAACCUGCCCUUGGGACAAGGACAACUCCGGGAAACUGGGGCUAAUCCCUGAUAAGUGAGAACUCCUGGAAUGGAUUCUCGCUCAAAGGACGUUUAGACCAUGCUUCUAGGCGUCGCCCAAGGAGGGGGCCGCGACCGAUCAGGUUGUUGGUGAGGUAACGGCUCACCAAGCCUUUAACCGGUACGGGCCGUGAGAGCGGAAGCCCGGAGAUGGGCACUGAGACAAGGGCCCAGGCCCUACGGGGCGCAGCAGUCGCGAAAACUCCGCAAUACACGAAAGUGUGACGGGGCUAUCCCGAGUGCCAUCCGCUGAGGAUGGCUUUUCCCCAGUGUAUAAAGCUGGGGGAAUAAGGAGAGGGCAAGCCUGGUGUCAGCCGCCGCGGUAAUACCAGCUCUCCGAGUGGUGGGGAUGUUUAUUGGGCCUAAAGCAUUCGUAGCCUGCUUGGCAGGUCCUCCGUUAAAUCCAACGAUUCAAUCGUUGGGCUGCGGGGGAUACUGUCCAGCUAGGGGGCGGGAGAGGCCGACGGUAUCCCCGGGGUAGGGGUGAAAUCCUAUAAUCCCGGGAGGACCACCAGUGGCGAAGGCUGUCGGCUGGAACGCGCUCGACGGUGAGGGAUGAAAGCUGGGGGAGCGAACCGGAUUAGAUACCCGGGUAGUCCCAGCUGUAAACGAUGCAGGCUAGGUGUUGGCGCGGCUACGUGCCGCUCCAGUGCCGCAGGGAAGCCGUUAAGCCUGCCGCCUGGGAAGUACGGCCGCAAGGCUGAAACUUAAAGGAAUUGGCGGGGGAGCACCACAAGGUGUGAAGCUUGCGGUUUAAUUGGAUUCAACGCCGGG